rnacentral:rRNA from 1 species
UACGGAGGGUGCGAGCGUUGUCCGGAAUUAUUGGGCGUAAAGGGCUCGUAGGUGGCCAACUAAGUCAGACGUGAAAUCCCUCGGCUUAACCGGGGAACUGCGUCUGAUACUGGAUGGCUUGAGUUCGGGAGAGGGAUGCGGAAUUCCAGGUGUAGCGGUGAAAUGCGUAGAUAUCUGGAGGAACACCGGUGGCGAAGGCGGCAUCCUGGACCGACACUGACACUGAGGAGCGAAAGCCAGGGGAGCAAACGGG